rnacentral:lncRNA from 1 species
CUCCUGGCAAAUUAACGGCUAGCUCCAGAAGCAUGUCCCCCUGUUAACCAGCCACGGCCUCAUUAAUCCAAAAGUGAUUUUAAAAUGGGAACUCGGGGGGGGGCCUGCUCUGCCUACCAGCCAUCUGCAGCCCUUCCCCGUGGCUGGGCCAGGCCACGCCCUACAAAAUGUCGGGGGAAGACACUUGGGGAGACGGGGCAAGAGGCCGGGCCGGAAGGAGGUCUGGAUCAACAGUUUCAUAACUGACGAUGUGUUGGCUUGGCUGUGCAAGCGGAGGGUUUAGCAGGACCAGUUUGAGCCCAGCCUGGUGUGCGGAGGCGUCUUCCGGAUGGCAUUGGACUCCCAAGGGACCCCAAAUCACCGAAAGCAGGGUUGCUGUGUAGAGGCCCCGAAAGAGAAUGGAGAAGGCUGGGCCAGCGCCCGGGGCACCCCUUCCUCUGAGCCGGGCUCUACCCCCGCGCCUCCCGAGGCACAUCCCUGGUCCCUGUUCCUGGAAACGGGCCUACUUCCUCCACCCACCCCUCACCUGGUGCCUGCUUUGCCCGAUGCUGGUUGCUCAUCCUGUCGUCUUGGGUUGACCGCCUGCAAGGCUCUCUCCAGGGGCUCACGGGGUAGGGGCGGACGCAGACUCGAUUCAAUUAAAUGUGUGGGGCACAGACCUGGCCUCCGGUAGUGACUUCUGUGUUCUGCUAAGACGGGCAACUGUAGGACACCCUGGGCCUGGUGCAGAAGGGGCGAGCAC